UACAGGGGGUGCAAACGUUGCUCGGAAUCAUUGGGCGUAAAGCGCACGUAGGCGGUUCGUUAUGUCGGAUGUGAAAGCCCUUGGCUUAACCGAGGAAGUGCAUCCGAAACUGGCGAGCUAGAGUACGAAAGAGGAUCGCGGAAUUCCCGGUGUAGAGGUGAAAUGCGUAGAUAUCCGCAGGAACAUCCGAGGCGAAAGCGGCUCGCUGGAUCGCAACUGACGCUGAGGGACGAAAGCUAGGGGAGCAAACAGG
rnacentral:rRNA from 1 species